CGAUAGCGUAUAUUAAAGUUGUUGCGGUUAAAAAGCUCGUAGUUGGAUUUCUGCUGAGAACGACCGGUCCGCCCUUUGGGUGUGUAUCUGGCUCUUUCUUGGCAUCUUCUUGGUGAACGUUGCUGCACUUGACUGUGUGGAGCGCUACCCAGGACUUUUACUUUGAGGAAAUUAGAGUGUUUCAAGCAGGCAUACGCCUUGAAUACAUUAGCAUGGAAUAAUAAGAUAGGACCUCGGUUCUAUUUUGUUGGUUUCUAGAGCUGAGGUAAUGAUUAAUAGGGAUAGUUGGGGGCAUUCGUAUUUAACUGUCAGAGGUGAAAUUCUUGGAUUUGUUAAAGACGGACUACUGCGAANGNAUUUGGNAAGGAUGUUUNCAUUG
rnacentral:rRNA from 1 species